GAUGAACGCUGGCGGCGUGCUUAACACAUGCAAGUCGAACGAAGCACUCUAUUUGAUUUUCUUCGGAAAUGAAGAUUUUGUGACUAAGUGGCGGACGGGUGAGUAACGCGUGGGUAACCUGCCUCAUACAGGGGGAUAACAGUUGGAAACGACUGCUAAUACCGCCUAAGCGCACAGUAUCGCAUGAUACAGUGUGAAAAACUCCGGUGGUAUGAGAUGGACCCGCGUCUGAUUAGCUAGUUGAUGGGGCAACGGCCUACCAAGGCGACGAUCAGUAGCCGACCUGAGAGGGUGACCGGCCACAUUGGGACUGAGACACGGCCCAAACUCCUACGGGAGGCAGCAGUGGGGAAUAUUGCACAAUGGGGGAAACCCUGAUGCAGCGACGCCGCGUGAACGAAGAAGUAUUUCGGUAUGUAAAGUUCUAUCAGCAGGGAAGAUAAUGACGGUACCUGACUAAGAAGCACCGGCUAAAUACGUGCCAGCAGCCGCCGUAA
rnacentral:rRNA from 1 species